rnacentral:rRNA from 1 species
CCAAUAGCGUAUAUUAAAGUUGUUGCAGUUAAAAAGCUCGUAGUUGAAUUUCGGGGUCAGUAGGUUGGUCAUGCCACUGGUAUGUACUGGCCUCACUGAUUCCUCCUUCCUGAUGAGCCGUAAUGCCAUUAAUUUGGUGUUGCGAGGAAUCUGGACUGUUACUUUGAAAAAAUUAGAGUGUUUAAAGCAGGCUAACGCUUGAAUACAUUAGCAUGGAAUAAUGAAAUAGGACGUUCGAUCUUAUUUUGUUGGUUUCUAAGAUUGACGUAAAGAUUAAUAGGGAUAGUUGGGGGCAUUAGUAUUCAAUUGUCAGAGGUGAAAUUCUUGGAUUUAUUGAAGACUAACUACUGCGAAAGCAUUUGCCAAGGAUGUUUUCAUUAAUCAAGAACGAAAGUUAGGGGAUCGAAGACGAUCAGAUACCGUCGUAGUCUUAACCAUAAACUAUGCCGACUAGGGAUCGGAUGAUGUUAAUUUUUUAAUGACUCAUUCGGCGCCUUACG